GUAGUUUUAGCUCAAUCGGUAGAGCGCUUCUCUGUGGAUGAAGAGGCCCAGGGUUCGAAUCCCUGAAGUUACC
rnacentral:tRNA from 1 species